GCCCGCUUUCACGUAUAGUCUGUCAGCAUAACAGCCUCUCUUUCUCGCGCGCACCGAAAACGUGUGAAGGCAGAAAGGAGAACAGAAUCUGGAAAGAUCCCGUUAGGUGCAACGCUGCAGCGUACAGCCAACUUCUCGCGUCAAAAGUUCUUGUUCACUUCGUUUAAAACUUUGAAUGAAAACGGACGCAAGGCUGCUGCAGUAGUUAGAAUACAAACGGAAAAUUACAGCCCACGCGGUUCGGUUUCCGUCUAGAUGUGUGUACACCGGCCAAGUCUACGCUAACAGGAGGAUCAUUUAUAUUUUUGCACCCAACUACUGGAAAAGAAAAAAGGUUCUGUCGGCAACAUCAGCGCCAGCGCGACGUGAUCGCGCCGUUUUUAAUUCCGCAACCGGUCGGCCAAGACGAGACUUUUUCUGGGUGUCAGUUCAAGCCAACCUGCCACGGCAGGGUUGCCACCUGCGGACACGUGUCGCGCUAGGUGCCGCCCUGCGAACGGCGUAAAUCUCUGGCCCGGCAUCCCACCAACCGUAUGCCACGUGCGGCCUUGUAUCGAAGGAAGUCUACAUGGACGACCACGGUGGUUAGUGCAUAACCUCACCAACACGCGCCACGCGCGGCAUUCACCGCCCCAGCUCUGGCUAAGCCAUAGAGCGACAUUUUGAAGGGUUAUGGUACUAAUUCGCCAGCCAUUUUUUUUGGACCACUGAUCGUAAAUGGUCGCACUUGAAUAAGGAAGUGAACGGAUACAGGAUGUGACUUUUGCUACCACACCCACAUCGUCUUACCAACACGCGCCACGCGCGGCAACGGAAUUCUCAGCUCUGGCUAGUCCAGUAAGCAGUAUCUCGGAAGGCGAUUUGUAGCGCAGCAGACCCGGCACUUCGCCCGUAUUUGCCACGUGCGGCUUGCCGAUGGGAGAAGCCUCACCAUAGGUGAAAUAUAUUUGGAGGAGAGCAUCGAUUGAUCAGACCUGCUGUCUGGCAUGCGAAGACGCAUAUCCCUCCCAGUAUUUAUUGAUCCACCCUCGUACAGCAACGUGUGCUUGCCUCUUCUGGUGAUUUUGGCCCGGUCACAGGCAUAAAUUAGCAGAUGUAUUUUCUGGGUCUGCUUUGAUGUUGGACAUGGAAAAGACUUACUUAAAAUCUCUGACCGCAUGGAAAUGAUGUUUCUGGCUAAUUAUGUACGUCCUCCGGCGACCGACUCCACCUCAUCCAUCCUUACUGGAACUUCAUUUGAGCAGUUUCUCAAUGAGGGAAAAAAGGGGACAAAUGGCAAAAAUGCCAGGCUUCAUGGCGAAAAGGGGUUUGCUGGCGCAAAGGAGCAUGCACUUGCCAAGGAAAAUUGUUUACGCAUUUUAAGUUUCGCUCGAGCAAGGGCAUCAACAAUGGCGACUGCGUUUUGUUGUUCCCCAUCGAUGCAAGAUGCAGGGCAUCCAGCUGGGCAAAGUUGCAACUUUGUUACGCUUGGGCACCCAUCGCAAAAUGCAUGGGUUUCAAGUUGAAAUUUAUUUAAAGGCUACAGCAGAAUGUCAGACAGCGGUUGACAUCUGCAUUUAUUUAUAACUUAUACAUUUUUUAUAUCUUAAUACUACGAGCUUGACCUAUAAAUUAUUUAUUUACUUAAGAAGUUUAUACAAAUGAAUACAAUUAUGAGCUAGUAAAGAUGUAGAAUUUAUUUAGAUUAUUUUUUAGGUAGAGCUGUUGUAGAAAUGUGGUGAAAUGUGGGCUUUUUAGGAACUGUUAUAAAUUUGAUUUAUUGGUUGAUGUAAGACUCACCAGUCAACAAGAAAUGUGUUGAAUAAAAUUUAAUUUAAUUCGUUUUACACAUGUUCCAUUAUAAGCAUAAUAAUUAAAUGUCUU